AUUACAUUAGCUUAGUGGUUAGAGCAAUAGUUUUGGGUACUAUGUGAGUUGGUUCAAUUCCAACAUGUGAAA
rnacentral:tRNA from 1 species